UACGUAGGGGGCAAGCGUUGUCCGGAAUCAUUGGGCGUAAAGAGCGCGUAGGCGGUCCGGUAAGUCCGCUCUGAAAGUCCGGGGCUCAACCCCGGGAGGCGGGCGGAUACUGUCGGGCUAGAGUCCGGAAGAGGCGAGUGGAAUUCCUGGUGUAGCGGUGAAAUGCGCAGAUAUCAGGAGGAACACCAAUGGCGAAGGCAGCUCGCUGGGACGGUACUGACGCUGAGGCGCGAAAGCCAGGGGAGCGAACGGG
rnacentral:rRNA from 1 species